GACGAACGCUGGCGGCGUGCUUAACACAUGCAAGUCGAACGGAAAGGCCCUGCUUUUGUGGGGUGCUCGAGUGGCGAACGGGUGAGUAACACGUGAGUAACCUGCCCUUGACUUUGGGAUAACUUCAGGAAACUGGGGCUAAUACCGGAUAGGAGCUCCUGCUGCAUGGUGGGGGUUGGAAAGUUUCGGCGGUUGGGGAUGGACUCGCGGCUUAUCAGCUUGUUGGUGGGGUAGUGGCUUACCAAGGCUUUGACGGGUAGCCGGCCUGAGAGGGUGACCGGCCACAUUGGGACUGAGAUACGGCCCAGACUCGUACGGGAGGCAACAGUGGGGAAUAUUGCACAAUGGGCGGAAGCCUGAUGCAGCAACGCCGCGUGCGGGAUGACGGCCUUCGGGUUGUAAACCGCUUUCGCCUGUGACGAAGCGUGAGUGACGGUAAUGGGUAAAGAAGCACCGGCUAACUACGUG
rnacentral:rRNA from 1 species